AACUAUAACGGUCCUAAGGUAGCGAAAUUCCUUGUCAGGUAAGUUCUGACCCGCACGAAAGGCGUAACGAUUUGGGCGCUGUCUCAGCUGUAGACUCGGUGAAGUCUUAGUACCUGUGAAGAUGCAGGUUACCCGCGACUAGACGGAAAGACCCCAUGGAGCUUCACUGCAGGUUGAUAUUGGGAUUUGAUGCAGCAUGUACAGGAUAGGUAGGAGGCUAGGAGAUGGAUACGCCAGUAUUCAAGGAGCCGCUGUUGGGAUACUACCCCUGUUGUAUUGGAUUUCUAACCGGACGACGUAGAGCCGUUGACGGGACAGUGUCAGUCGGGCAGUUUGACUGGGGCGGUCGCCUCCCAAAGAGUAACGGAGGCGCCCAAAGAUACCCUCAGCUUGGAUGGAAACCAAGCGCAGAGUGCAAAGGCAAAAGGGUGUUUGACUGCGAGACCCACAAGUCGAGCAGGGACGAAAGUCGGGCUUAGUGAUCCGGCGGUGCUGAAUGGAAAGGCCGUCGCUCAACGGAUAAAAGCUACCCUGGGGAUAACAGGCUGAUCUCCCCCAAGAGUCCACAUCGACGGGGAGGUUUGGCACCUCGAUGUCGGCUCAUCGCAUCCUGGGGCUGUAUUCGGUCCCAAGGGUUUGGCUGUUCGCCAAUUAAAGCGGUACGCGAGCUGGGUUCAGAACGUCGUGAGACAGUUCGGUCCCUAUCUGUCGUGGGCGUAGGAUAUUUGAGGAGCGCUGUUCCUAGUACGAGAGGACCGGAAUGGACGCACCGCUGGUGUAUCGGUUGUCAUGCCAAUGGCACGGCCGAGCAGCUAUGUGCGGAUCGGAUAAACGCUGAAAGCAUCUAAGCGUGAAGCCGUCUCCAAGAUAAGAUAUCCCACUGUUUACAGUUAAGACCCCUUGUAGACUACGAGGUUGAUAGGUUGGAUGUGUAAGUACAGUGAUGUAUUUAGCUAGCCAAUACUAAUAGGUCGAGGGCUUGACCUU
rnacentral:rRNA from 1 species